AUGUGAUUUUACUUGACACGAUCCUAUAACAAAGUAAUUUGUCGAGUUGGAGUCCCCAAAAUAUCGACAAAAUGCCACUUGCAUCAUGACAAUUGAAUAUCAUCGUCGAGGAAGCCAAGAACCGACUGGAUCGUGGUAACAUUCGUAAGCCCCAAGCCGCACGCACACAGAGGGGAGUGGCACCUGUACCCUAAAGGUAGCAGGUUUGAAUCCCAGGACACAGCUGUGCCCCUGUGCUCAGCCUCACCACGUUGCGUAGGUGAAAGCCAAGGACACCAACUGGCACGCAGCUCACCACAGAAAUCCCCCAUUUACGGCUGCAUCAUGGCGUCUCUCCAGGACAUCCACGACCGGAGACAGCAACGCGUCAACC